GCAACUUGGUUUGGGAGAGCUUAAGCUAACAACAACAACACUUCAACUUGCUGAUCGUUCAGUAAAAGUUCCAAGAGGGGUUGUAGAGGAUGUUCUAGUUCAAAUUGAUAAAUUCUAUUAUCCUAUUGAUUUUAUAGUUUUGGACACACAUCUUGUUUUAAAUUCAAAUGGACAAAUACCUGUCAUUUUAGGACGUCCCUUUCUUGCUACUUCAAAUGCAUUGAUAAAUUGUAGAAAUGGUAUCUUAAAACUCUCUUUUGGAAAUAUGACUUUGGAAAUGAAUGUUUUUAACAUUUGCAAGCAACAUGGAGAUAAUGAUGAUUUGCAUGAAGUAGAUUUUAUUGAACAAUUUGUUGAUGAUCAGUUUACCACUACAUCUUCAUCUAAUGUGCUAGAAUUUGAAUUUAACAAUAAUUUUGAAAAUUUGUAUAUAAUUUCUUUGUUGAAUUCUUUUCGGGAGAAAAAGACAAGUGAUUGGAAAUCAAAGUUUGAAAAAUUAUCACAACAGUCCAAUAUGUCCAUGAUUUCAAGUGUUCAAAUGCCAAAGCUCGACUUGAAGCCAUUACCAUCUAAUCUGAAAUACUCAUUUUUGGGUGAAGAUGAAACUUUUCCGGUAAUAAUUUCUUCCCAACUUGAUGCGCACCAAGGAGGUAAGUUAUUGCAAACUUUAAAAAUGCAUAAAAAUGUUUUAGGAUGGACCAUAGCUGAUAUAAAAGGGAUUAGUCCUUUGAUUUGCACACAUAAGAUUUAUUUGGAGGAAUAUGCUAAACCUACAAGAGAAAUGCAAAGAAGGCUUAAUCCUAUUUUAAAAGAGGUGGUAAGAAAUGAAGUCAUUAAACUCUUAGAUAAUGAAAUCAUUUAUCCUAUUUCUGAUAGUAGAUGGGUAAGUCCAACCCAAGUUGUACCAAAAAAAUUUGGUGUUACUGUAGUCAAAAAUGAAGAAAAUGAGUUAAUUCCAACUAGAACUGUUACUGGUUGGCGCAUGUGUAUUGACUAUAGGAAACUCAACUCAAUGACUAGAAAAGAUCAUUUUCCUUUACCCUUUAUGGAUCAGAUGUUGGAAAAACUGGCAGGACAUGAAUUUUAUUAUUUUCUAGAUGGAUAUUCUGGAUAUAAUCAAAUUGAAAUUGCAACUGACGACCAAGAAAAGACCACUUUCACAUGUCCCUUUGGUACUUUUGCUUAUCGUAGAAUGCCUUUUGGAUUAUGUAAUGCACCAGCUACAUUUCAAAGAUGCAUGCUUAGUAUUUUUAGCGACAUGAUUGAAUGAUCUUUGGAAGUUUUCAUGGAUGAUUUUGCUGUUUUUGGGGAUUCAUUUGAUGAUUGUCUAACUAACUUGCAAAAAGUUUUAGUUAGGUGUGAAGAAAAGAAUCUUGUGCUCAACUGGGAAAAAUGUCAUUUUAUGGUCACUAAGGGCAUCGUACUUGGUCAUAUUGUAUCACCUAAUGGAAUUGAGGUAGACAAAUCUAAAAUUGAAUUGAUUUCUAAUUUGCCUACUCCACAUAGUGUUAAAGAGGUAAGAUCUUUUUUAGGACAUGCUGGUUUUUAUAGAAGGUUUAUCAAAGACUUUAGUGCCAUAUCUAAACCAUUGUGUAAUCUCUUAUCUAAAGACAUGCCU
rnacentral:lncRNA from 1 species